rnacentral:rRNA from 1 species
GACGAACGCUGGCGGCGUGCUUAACACAUGCAAGUCGAACGGAAAGGCCCUGCUUUUGUGGGGUGCUCGAGUGGCGAACGGGUGAGUAACACGUGAGUAACCUGCCCUUGACUUUGGGAUAACUUCAGGAAACUGGGGCUAAUACCGGAUAGGAGCUCCUGCUGCAUGGUGGGGGUUGGAAAGUUUCGGCGGUUGGGGAUGGACUCGCGGCUUAUCAGCUUGUUGGUGGGGUAGUGGCUUACCAAGGCUUUGACGGGUAGCCGGCCUGAGAGGGUGACCGGCAAUAUGGGGACGGAGAGACGGCCCGGACUCCGCGGGGAGGCAGAAGGGGGGAAUAUGGCACAGGGGGCGGAAGCCGGAUGCAGAAACGCCGGGGGGGGGAUGAGGGCUGUGGGUUUGAAAACCGUUUUCCCCGGGGACGAAGGGGGAGGGAGGGUAAGGGGUAAAGAAGCCCGGCCAAACUCGGUC